GUUUCCGUAGUGUAGUGGUUAUCACGUGUGCUUCACACGCACAGGGUCCCUGGUUCGAAUCCGGGCGGAAACA